rnacentral:rRNA from 1 species
UUUGAUGGCGACCGGCGCACGGGUGAGUAACACGUAUCCAACCUGCCGAUGACUCGGGGAUAGCCUUUCGAAAGAAAGAUUAAUACCCGAUGGCAUAGUUCUUCCGCAUGGUGGAACUAUUAAAGAAUUUCGGUCAUCGAUGGGGAUGCGUUCCAUUAGGUUGUUGGCGGGGUACCGGCCCACCAAGCCUUCGAUGGAUAGGGGUUCUGAGAGGAAGGUCCCCCACAUUGGAACUGAGACACGGUCCAAACUCCUACGGGAGGCAGCAUG